rnacentral:tRNA from 1 species
GGCAAUAUGGCCGAGCGGUCUAAGGCGCUAGAAUCAGGUGACGUGCUCAGGCACUGACACUAAUCUAGUCCGAAAGGGCGAGGGUUCGAAUCCCUCUGUUGUCA